UAAUGGAAAUCAGUUUACAUCUAUAACUAUUUAUUCUUUUGUAAACCCUCAGCCCUCUUAAUUGUUUUUUUACGCCUUCUCCAUUUCCUUCUCUAAAAUCACCGACGAUAUCCGCUCUCAACUAUCUGAUGAAUAUCAUCCACCCAUGCCUCAUCAAUUUCGCCACUACUCUCUGCCUUAUCUCCCUCAUUCACCUCUAAUUCUAGGGAUUUUACAAUUCCCGUGAGUUUUUUCAGCUCCAAUGACCUAGGGCAAACAAAGUGAGAAAUCAAGUCAACCCAACCACCAUUAACAAUGGAGAAAAUGCCUACAUUGGAUGGUUCCAAUGUAGAUGAAUCAGGGAUAAAUUAUGUGUGCUAUUCCAGCGGGCAUCACUUGCCCCUUAUUAUGUGCCUCGUAGAUGAAGAACUAUGCGAACCCUAUCCCAUCUUUAGAGAUGGUUACUUCGUUUAUCUUUGGCCCAAUAUCUUCCUCAUACUCUUAAUCUACAAUUUUCUAUAAUUUCAAUUGAUCGUAUUCAUCAUCAAAUAAAAAAAAGUACUUGAUCUACUUCUGUAAAUCUGUAGGCGUUUCAUAAGGGGAAAUGCAUUUGAACCGUGGUUUUCUAAAAUGGGAGAACACCAUAAUACUUUCAGAGGCUACAUUGUUAUGUUCGUUGUCCUGAAACCUUAUCGUCACAGAGGAAUUGCAGAAAAGGGGAUAAAAGUUUGUUAUUCUCACGCCAAUCAUUCUGACAGAAUUCGAUAUCGUGGAAGUUAUUCUAAAAGAAUUUAUGAUCGCGGGCUUGAGGAUAAUAAAGAAAAAUGGUGCAUGAAGGGGAAUAUGAUGAUCAAUGGCCUAAAGGUUGGAUGAUGAAUAUUAGAAAAGGGGAUAAAAAUUUGUUAUUCUCACGCCAGUCAUUCUGAGAGAAUUCGAUAUCAUGGGAGUUUAUUCUAAAAGAAUUUUUGAUCGCGGGCAUGAAGCUAAUAAAGAAAAAUGGUUCAUGAAGGGGAAUAUGAUGAUCAAUGGCCUAAAGGUUUGAUGAUGGUGCGUGGGAUGAAGAUAAACAAUGGUCAUUGAUGUUUCUAAAAGAAAACAAUGUUCAUUGUCAUAUUGUUAUCAAAAUGUAUCAUCAACAUAUAUUCUUUUAAACUGGACCAAAGUUAAUCUUUUAGAAUGCAUCAUCAACAUAUUCUUAUU